rnacentral:rRNA from 1 species
AACAUCCUACGGGAGGCAGCAGUGAGGAAUAUUGGUCAAUGGCCGAGAGGCUGAACCAGCCAAGUCGCGUGAGGGAAGACGGCCCUACGGGUUGUAAACCUCUUUUGUCGGGGAGCAAAGCGAGUCACGUGUGACUCAUUGAGAGUACCCGAAGAAAAAGCAUCGGCUAACUCCGUGCCAGCAGCCGCGGUAAUACGGAGGAUGCGAGCGUUAUCCGGAUUUAUUGGGUUUAAAGGGUGCGCAGGCGGAGGGGCAAGUCAGCGGUCAAAUUGCGGGGCGCAACCCCGUACUGCCGUUGAAACUGG